UCUCCUUAAUCGGAGAGUUCCCUUCGGGGACAUUGGUGACAGGUGGUGCAUGGUUGUCGUCAGCUCGUGGCGUGAGAUGUUGGGUUAAGUCCCGCAACGAGCGCAACCCUUGUCUUUAGUUGCCAUCAUUAAGUUGGGCCCUCUAGAGAGACUGCCAGGGAUAACCUGGAGGAAGGUGGGGAUGACGUCAAAUCAUCAUGCCCCUUAUGCUUAGGGCUAC
rnacentral:rRNA from 1 species